rnacentral:rRNA from 1 species
CCUACGGGUGGCAGCAGUGGGGAAUAUUGGAGAAUGGGCGAAAGCCUGAUCCAGCCAUGCCGCGUGUGUGAAGAAGGCCUUCGGGUUGUAAAGCACUUUCAGUGGGGAAGAAAGCCUUGGGGCUAAUACCCUCGAGGAAGGACAUCACCCACAGAAGAAGCACCGGCUAACUCCGUGCCAGCAGCCGCGGUAAUACGGAGGGUGCGAGCGUUAAUCGGAAUUACUGGGCGUAAAGCGCGCGUAGGCGGUCUGAUAAGCCGGUUGUGAAAGCCCCGGGCUCAACCUGGGAACGGCAUCCGGAACUGUCAGGCUAGAGUGCAGGAGAGGAAGGUAGAAUUCCCGGUGUAGCGGUGAAAUGCGUAGAGAUCGGGAGGAAUACCAGUGGCGAAGGCGGCCUUCUGGACUGACACUGACGCUGAGGUGCGAAAGCGUGGGUAGCAAACAGGAUUAGAUACCCCUGUAGUC